rnacentral:rRNA from 1 species
CGUAGAGAAAUCGAGUCUUAAUAGGGCGUUUAGUUGCUGGGUAUAGACCCGAAACCAGGCGAUCUAUCCAUGAGCAGGUUGAAGGUUGGGUAACACUAACUGGAGGACCGAACCCACUGUCGUUGAAAAGCCAGGGGAUGACUUGUGGAUAGGGGUGAAAGGCUAAUCAAGCCUGGUGAUAGCUGGUUCUCCCCGAAAGCUAUUUAGGUAGCGCCUCGGACGAAUACCAUAGGGGGUAGAGCACUGUUUCGGCUAGGGGGUCAUCCCGACUUACCAAACCGAUGCAAACUCCGAAUACCUAUGAGUACUAUCCGGGAGACAGACUGCGGGUGCUAACGUCCGUAGUC